UUAAGCGACUAAGCGUACACGGUGGAUGCCCUGGCAGUCAGAGGCGAUGAAGGGCGUGCUAAUCUGCGAUAAGCGCCGGUAAGGUGAUAUGAACCGUUAUAACCGGCGAUACCCGAAUGGGGAAACCCAGUGUGACUCGUCACACUAUCAUUAACUGAAUCCAUAGGUUAAUGAGGCGAACCGGGGGAACUGAAACAUCUAAGUACCCCGAGGAAAAGAAAUCAACCGAGAUUCCCCCAGUAGCGGCGAGCGAACGGGGAGGAGCCCAGAGCCUGAAUCAGCAUGUGUGUUAGUGGAAGCGUCUGGAAAGGCGCGCGAUACAGGGUGACAGCCCCGUACACAAAAGCGCAUGUGCUGUGAGCUCGAUGAGUAGGGCGGGACACGUGGUAUCCUGUCUGAAUAUGGGGGGACCAUCCUCCAAGGCUAAAUACUCCUGACUGACCGAUAGUGAACCAGUACCGUGAGGGAAAGGCGAAAAGAACCCCGGCGAGGGGAGUGAAAAAGAACCUGAAACCGUGUACGUACAAGCAGUGGGAGCACCCUUUGGGGUGUGACUGCGUACCUUUUGUAUAAUGGGUCAGCGACUUAUAUUCUGUAGCAAGGUUAACCGUAUAGGGGAGCCGUAGGGAAACCGAGUCUUAACCGGGCGUUAAGUUGCAGGGUAUAGACCCGAAACCCGGUGAUCUAGCCAUGGGCAGGUUGAAGGUUGGGUAACACUAACUGGAGGACCGAACCGACUAAUGUUGAAAAAUUAGCGGAUGACCUGUGGCUGGGGGUGAAAGGCCAAUCAAACCGGGAGAUAGCUGGUUCUCCCCGAAAGCUAUUUAGGUAGCGCCUCGUGAAUUCAUCUCCGGGGGUAGAGCACUGUUUCGGCUAGGGGGCCAUCCCGGCUUACCAACCCGAUGCAAACUGCGAAUACCGGAGAAUGUUAUCACGGGAGACACACGGCGGGUGCUAACGUCCGUCGUGAAGAGGGAAACAACCCAGACCGCCAGCUAAGGUCCCAAAGUCAUGGUUAAGUGGGAAACGAUGUGGGAAGGCCCAGACAGCCAGGAUGUUGGCUUAGAAGCAGCCAUCAUUUAAAGAAAGCGUAAUAGCUCACUGGUCGAGUCGGCCUGCGCGGAAGAUGUAACGGGGCUAAACCAUGCACCGAAGCUGCGGCAGCGAACGUAUCACUUAAAGCGAUUCAGCGGGUUACGAUUGACGGAGCGAAGCGACGUCAAAGCGUAUACAAAGUCGAGUCGGUUUAAGGAUACGUUCGUUGGGUAGGGGAGCGUUCUGUAAGCCUGCGAAGGUGGCCUGUGAGGGUUGCUGGAGGUAUCAGAAGUGCGAAUGCUGACAUAAGUAACGAUAAAGCGGGUGAAAAGCCCGCUCGCCGGAAGACCAAGGGUUCCUGUCCAACGUUAAUCGGGGCAGGGUGAGUCGACCCCUAAGGCGAGGCCGAAAGGCGUAGUCGAUGGGAAACGGGUUAAUAUUCCCGUACUUGGUGUUACUGCGAAGGGGGGACGGAGAAGGCUAUGUUGGCCGGGCGACGGUUGUCCCGGUUUAAGCGUGUAGGUGUGUGUUCCAGGUAAAUCCGGUUCACUUUAACACUGAGGCGUGAUGACGAGGCACUACGGUGCUGAAGCAACAAAUGCCCUGCUUCCAGGAAAAGCCUCUAAGCAUCAGGUAACAUCAAAUCGUACCCCAAACCGACACAGGUGGUCAGGUAGAGAAUACCAAGGCGCUUGAGAGAACUCGGGUGAAGGAACUAGGCAAAAUGGUGCCGUAACUUCGGGAGAAGGCACGCUGACACGUAGGUGAAGUGAUUUACUCAUGGAGCUGAAGUCAGUCGAAGAUACCAGCUGGCUGCAACUGUUUAUUAAAAACACAGCACUGUGCAAACACGAAAGUGGACGUAUACGGUGUGACGCCUGCCCGGUGCCGGAAGGUUAAUUGAUGGGGUCAGCGCAAGCGAAGCUCCUGAUCGAAGCCCCGGUAAACGGCGGCCGUAACUAUAACGGUCCUAAGGUAGCGAAAUUCCUUGUCGGGUAAGUUCCGACCUGCACGAAUGGCGUAAUGAUGGCCAGGCUGUCUCCACCCGAGACUCAGUGAAAUUGAACUCGCUGUGAAGAUGCAGUGUACCCGCGGCAAGACGGAAAGACCCCGUGAACCUUUACUAUAGCUUGACACUGAACAUUGAGCCUUGAUGUGUAGGAUAGGUGGGAGGCUUUGAAGUGUGGACGCCAGUCUGCAUGGAGCCGACCUUGAAAUACCACCCUUUAAUGUUUGAUGUUCUAACGUGGACCCGUAAUCCGGGUUGCGGACAGUGUCUGGUGGGUAGUUUGACUGGGGCGGUCUCCUCCUAAAGAGUAACGGAGGAGCACGAAGGUUGGCUAAUCCUGGUCGGACAUCAGGAGGUUAGUGCAAUGGCAUAAGCCAGCUUGACUGCGAGCGUGACGGCGCGAGCAGGUGCGAAAGCAGGUCAUAGUGAUCCGGUGGUUCUGAAUGGAAGGGCCAUCGCUCAACGGAUAAAAGGUACUCCGGGGAUAACAGGCUGAUACCGCCCAAGAGUUCAUAUCGACGGCGGUGUUUGGCACCUCGAUGUCGGCUCAUCACAUCCUGGGGCUGAAGUAGGUCCCAAGGGUAUGGCUGUUCGCCAUUUAAAGUGGUACGCGAGCUGGGUUUAGAACGUCGUGAGACAGUUCGGUCCCUAUCUGCCGUGGGCGCUGGAGAACUGAGGGGGGCUGCUCCUAGUACGAGAGGACCGGAGUGGACGCAUCACUGGUGUUCGGGUUGUCAUGCCAAUGGCACUGCCCGGUAGCUAAAUGCGGAAGAGAUAAGUGCUGAAAGCAUCUAAGCACGAAACUUGCCCCGAGAUGAGUUCUCCCUGAGACUUAGAGUCUCCUGAAGGAACGUUGAAGACGACGACGUUGAUAGGCCGGGUGUGUAAGCGCAGCGAUGCGUUGAGCUAACCGGUACUAAUGAACCGUGAGGCUUAACCUU
rnacentral:rRNA from 1 species